AGUGAACGCUGGCGGCAGGCCUAACACAUGCAAGUCGAGCGGCAGCGCGGGGACAACCCUGGCGGCGAGCGGCGGACGGGUGAGGAAUUCGUCGGAAUCUGCCUUUUUGUGGGGGAUAACGUAGGGAAACUUACGCUAAUACCGCAUACGUCCUACGGGAGAAAGUGGGGGACCGCAAGGCCUCACGCAGAAAGAUGAGCCGACGACCGAUUAGCUAGUUGGUGGGGUAAAGGCCCACCAAGGCGACGAUCGGUAGCUGGUCUGAGAGGAUGAUCAGCCACACUGGGACUGAGACACGGCCCAGACUCCUACGGGAGGCAGCAGUGGGGAAUAUUGGACAAUGGGCGCAAGCCUGAUCCAGCCAUGCCGCGUGUGUGAAGAAGGCCUUCGGGUUGUAAAGCACUUUUGUCCGGAAAGAAAUCCCUGGAGCUAAUACCUUCGGGGGAUGACGGUACCGGAAGAAUAAGCACCGGCUAACUUCGUG
rnacentral:rRNA from 1 species